AACGAACGCUGGCGGCAGGCUUAACACAUGCAAGUCGAGCGCCCCGCAAGGGGAGCGGCAGACGGGUGAGUAACGCGUGGGAACGUACCCUUUGCUACGGAAUAGCUCCGGGAAACUGGAAUUAAUACCGUAUGUGCCCUACGGGGGAAAGAUUUAUCGGCAAAGGAUCGGCCCGCGUUGGAUUAGCUAGUUGGUGGGGUAAUGGCCUACCAAGGCGACGAUCCAUAGCUGGUCUGAGAGGAUGAUCAGCCACAUUGGGACUGAGACACGGCCCAAACUCCUACGGGAGGCAGCAGUGGGGAAUAUUGGACAAUGGGCGCAAGCCUGAUCCAGCCAUGCCGCGUGAGUGAUGAAGACCUUAGGGUUGUAAAGCUCUUUCACCAGAGAAGAUAAUGACGGUAUCCGGAGAAGAAGCCCCGGCUAACUUCGUGCCAGCCGCCGCGGUAACAC
rnacentral:rRNA from 1 species